UACAUGGGGUGCAAACGUUGCUCGGAAUCAUUGGGCGUAAAGCGCGCGUAGGCGGUUACUUAAGUCGGAUGUGAAAGCCCUCGGCUUAACUGAGGAAGUGCACCCGAAACUGAGUAGCUAGAGUACGAAAGAGGGUCGCGGAAUUCCCGGUGUAGAGGUGAAAUUCGUAGAUAUCGGGAGGAACACCGGUGGCGAAGGCGGCGACCUGGGUCGAGACUGACGCUGAGGCGCGAAAGCGUGGGGAGCAAACAGG
rnacentral:rRNA from 1 species